rnacentral:rRNA from 1 species
UUAUGAGGACGUGAAACCGGUGAGGAGGAAACGGAUAGAGUCGGCGUAUCUUGCAAGUAUUCAAUUACUUUAUUAUUGUGUUGUUAUCUCUGAGCUCCAGAUUGGGACAGAGGAAAGCAGCAUGAUUUAAUGUGAUGCAUUUACUUGUCUGCGUGUGGGGGUAUCUAAGAUGGAUUUGCAACCAAUGUUUUGAGGCCAGCUUGCUGGUACCCAAACAUUGUUAACAUUUUUUAUCUUGGAUAUUCGAGUACGGCUUACGUGCAUUUUUUGUAUUGAUCUAAGUGCAAGUUACCGUCGCAUGCGACACGUGCUUUUCAUUUAGUUCCGUGCAGUUAAUGCUCUCGUACUCUCCCCCCAUGUAAAAGCCGGUCAUCUAUUUGACCCGUCUUGAAACACCGACCAAGGAGUUUAUCGUGUGCGCAAGUUUUUGGGUGUUAAAAACCUAGAAGCGAAAUGAAAGUAAAUGAUUCUUUAGAGUCUGAUGUGCAAUCUUUUUUUCAAAAAGUGCAUCCAGGCCCCAUUCUAACUGUUUACCGUAGGGUGGCGGAAGAGCGUACGCGGUGAGACCCGAAAGAUGGUGAACUAUUCCUGAGCAGGACGAAACCAGAGGAAACUCUGGUGGAAGUCCGAAGCGGUUCUGACCUGCAAAUCGAUCGUCUGACUCGGGUAUAGGGGCGAAAGACUAAUCGAACCAUCUAGUAGCUGGUUUCCUUCCAAACUU